ACCUCCUGUAUAUGGGCAAGGAAAUACCUUAUUCAUGGUGUUGCUCUUGUAUUAGUCAGGGACAAAGCAGAUGGCAGUCCUACACUCAUCCUAGAUUGAUGCCUGGCUUGGUGGUCAAAGCUGUUUUAUGCCUAGGACACAUUG